rnacentral:rRNA from 1 species
UACGAGGGGGGCAAAUGUUGUUCGGAAUCACUGGGCGUAAAGGGAGCGUAGGCGGGUUUCUAAGUCAGGUGUUUAAUCCCGGGGCCCAACCCCGGACAGGCACUUGAAACUGGGAAUCUUGAAUAGUGGAGAGGUCAGUGGAAUUGGGGGUGUAGCGGUGGAAUGCGUAGAGAUCCCCAAGAACACCAGUUGCGAAGGCGGCUGACUGGACACAUAUUGACGCUGAGGCUCGAAGGCAUGGGGAGCAAACAGG